rnacentral:rRNA from 1 species
UACGUAGGUCCCGAGCGUUGUCCGGAUUUAUUGGGCGUAAAGCGAGCGCAGGUGGUUUAUUAAGUCUGGUGUAAAAGGCAGUGGCUCAACCAUUGUAUGCAUUGGAAACUGGUAGACUUGAGUGCGGGAGAGGAGAGUGGAAUUCCAUGUGUAGCGGUGAAAUGCGUAGAUAUAUGGAGGAACACCGGCGGCGAAAGUGGCUCUCUGGCCUGUAACUGACACUGAGGCUCGAAAGCGUGGGGAGCAAACAGG